UUGGGUUUUAUUCUGGCUCCGAGUGAACGCUGGUAACAUAUUUUAACACAUGCAAAUCGAACGAGAUUUUCUAAAUCUAGUGGUGACCUGGUGAGUAAUGUAAGAGAAUCGAAGUGCAGGUUAGGUCAAAUACCUAAUUUGAAAGAUUUAUAUCGCUUGCAAUAGAGCUCUUAUAGGAUUAGGUAGUUGUUGUAGUAAUUAUUCAACAAGCCGACGAUGCUUAGCUGGUUUGAGAGAAUGAUCAGCCACAUUGGGACUGAAAACGGCCCAAGUCUUUUAAAAGGGCAGCAGUGGAGAAUAUUUGACAAUGGGCGAAAGCUUGAUCGAGUAAUGCUACGUGGGUGAUCAGAAGGCUUAAUUGCUGUAAAACUCGUUUCGUCAAGGAUUAUAAUGCAAUCGUACUUGAAGGAGAUGCCCUGACUAACUUCGUGCCAGCAGUCGCGGUAAUACGGAGAGGGCUAGUGUUAUUCGCAUUGACUGGGUGUAAAGGGUGCGUAGGUGGUCUAUUAAGUUUUGAGACAAAAGUUAGACUUAGAGUUUAAUUAUCUCCUAAUACUAAUAGACUAGAGUUUAUUGGAAGAUGGCUGAACAUUAAGUGUAAAGGUGAAAUUUUUCGAUAUUUAAAGGGCAUUCGUUAGGCGAAGGCUGUCAUCUACUUUAAUACUGACACUGAGGCACAAAAGCAUAGGGAUCAAACAGGAUUAGAGACCCUGGUAGUCUAUGCCCUGACCGAUGAAUAUUGAUUACGUUUAGUUACGUAAUUAAGCUAACGCGUAAAUAUUCCACCUGAGUACUACGACCGCAAGGUUAAAACUCAAAGAAACUGACGGAAGAUUGUAUAAGCGGUGGAGUAUGUGGUUUAAUUUGAUAUAACGCAAAAAAUCUUACCAACUCUUGAAUACAAAUUGCGUUUACAUUCCGAAGUAAGUUUCCUUACUUCGGAAUGUCGCAGUGCUUCUUUUGUUAAAAGAAGCACUGAUUUGUACAGGUGCUGCAUGGUUGUCGGCAGUUCGUGUUGUGAAAUGUUUUGUUAAUUCAUUUAACGGACGUAACCUUCAGUCAUAUUUCAAUUCAGUAUAUGGCAACAUUAAUUUCAAAAUUAAUUGAGAGGAGAAGAAGUCAAAUCAUUAUGGCCUAUAUAAGUUGGGCUACACACGUACUACAAUGGUAAUCACAAUGUGAAGCAAAAACGCAAGUUUUAGCUAAUCAUUAAAAAUUAACCUAAGUUCGAAUUGCUCUCUGAAAGUCGAGAGCAUGAAGUCGGAAUCGCUAGUAAUCGCAGAAUAGAAUGCUGCGGUGAAUACAUUCUCAAUCUUUGUACACACCGCCCGUCACGCCAUGGGAAUUGGUUUGGUUAGAAGUUUUGUAGAAUUUAGCGUUAUUUGUGAGGAAUACUUUUUUCCACGAAUAGGUUAAAUUGCUAGGAACGACAACUAGAUUGAGGACUGGGGUGAAGUCGUAACAAGGUAGCGGUAGGGGAACCUGCUGCUGGACAAAAUU
rnacentral:rRNA from 1 species